rnacentral:rRNA from 1 species
GACGAACGCUGGCGGCGUGCCUAAUACAUGCAAGUCGAGCGGAACUGGGGGAGCUUGCUCCUUCCAGUUUAGCGGCGGACGGGUGAGUAACACGUGGGCAACCUGCCCUGCAGAUCGGGAUAACUCCGGGAAACCGGUGCUAAUACCGAAUAGUUUGGCGCCUCUCCUGAGGCGCUACGGAAAGACGGUUUCGGCUGUCACUGCAGGAUGGGCCCGCGGCGCAUUAGCUAGUUGGUGGGGUAACGGCCCACCAAGGAGACGGUGCGUAGCCGACCUGAGAGGGUGACCGGCCACACUGGGACUGAGACACGGCCCAGACUCCUACGGGAGGCAGCAGUAGGGAAUCUUCCGCAAUGGACGCAAGUCUGACGGAGCAACGCCGCGUGAGUGACGAAGGUUUUCGGAUCGUAAAACUCUGUUGUGAGGGAAGAACACGUACCAACUAACUAUUGGUACCUUGACGGUACCUCACCAGAAAGCCACGGCUAACUACGUGCCAGCAGCCGCCGUAA